GCAGCCGAGGGGCCGCGGGAGCGGGCUGGAGGCGGCUCGGUGCUCCCCCGGGCCGGGGGUCGCGGCUGCCGGGGGCUGCUGGGGUCCCGGGAGGGCCGUGAAUGGCCCCGAUGUGCGGCGGAGCCCCCCUGCCCCUUUGCCCCCCGCCAUCAGCGGGUUUCUCUGCUCCUCCUCCCUCGGCACUUUCCUUUCUGGGCUCUGGGUGCCAGGUUUCGGCUCGGAGUGAACUUUUUAUAAGCUGCUGAACAACGAGGCUUGAUGGAGGUGCUGACACAGCAUUAACUGUAGCGUUGAAAAUGCGAGGCUGUAAUUUUCCUGCCCAAGUGUGUGCAGCUAAAAGGCACUUUUUUUCCCUUUUUAUUUUUUUUUUUCCUUUUACUGAGUGUGAGGAUCUAAAGGCAUAUUUAGGUUUCCAGGUUCUGUGUAAGCAAUGUAAUUCUCAUAAAUCUUGACUUGCAAGAGAGAAUUUGGUUUCAAAAUAGGGUGGUAGUUUAGCAAACAAUAAUAUUUAUCUCACAUGUGUUUAUCUAGCACAGCUUCUGCAAGUGAGACAAAUUGCUUCCGUGGUUUCCUUGUUUUCUGGAUUCCUGUUGUGCCCUAUUUAAAAGAAAAAAAAAAAAAAAAAAAAAGCAGUUUUUUGUUUUAGCUGAUGUGGGUUUGUGUUUUGUUGGUUUUUUUUUUUUCUUUUAAUAUGCCAGCAACACUGGUUAAAUAUGAGGAACUUUUAAUUCAAGGGGAGGCUUUUAAACUGGCUAAUUGCUUUUCCUGAAAAGGCCACAGACGUCCAAAAAUCUCUUAAAUAUUUACUUGCUUUUACUUUUAUUUGGUAGUAACCACAUAAUACAAGCUUAGCCAAACAAGAACACUUUUUUAAUAGCUUAGGCUGUUGUUUCCCAUUUUUCCCUAGAACACAGAUUUUUCAGUAGAGUUCUAAGAUGCUUGAAUCUUUUCUUACUUGUGAAUCUUGUCCCUAGCCUUAGAAAUGCUUCCUGAAGCAUAAGAAUGGGGUGAAGGUUCAAUCUCCAUCACCUACUCUGUUCCUGGUCUUCCUCCAGUGCUUACUAGCAAGACAGAGCCUUGGGAACUUGGGAAAAACUGUCCCCUUGCUGCGGUCAGCUUGAGCUCGGGCUUCUGAGAUGCUGGGCAGCCACUGAAAUUUCUUACUGCAGGAGUGUUCUUAUGCAGCUCUUACAGUCAUGGGCAAGAGCACUCAGUGCAAAACUGUCAAAUGCCAACAAAUCUCUUCUGAGCAUCUGUGAAUCAAGAUUCAUCAAGUGUGGCCAAAUGUGGGUGUACAUAAUGUAAAUAAACAUGGUCUGUAAAAGCAAAUCUUUGACACAAGUACAGUUCUGCUGCCAAAUUUAAUUCCUUCCUCUUGAACACAGAGAGCAUUGAAUAUCUUAACUACUUAAUCACAUAGGGGUUUUUAUUAAAGGAUAAACAUGAUUUUUAAAAAUCAAAUCUCAUUCUGCAAAUAUUCUAACCACACUUUCCCUCCCCCCACUCGCCCUACCCCAGUAAUCAUGCAACAUACAAAGUUUAAACUCAAAUAUAUAAAAUUCAGGAACUGAAAGCAGUCUGUAAAAGAGAGUGUUGAACAGCUUGAAUUUUAACUCUCACUAGACAUAGUGCACAAAACUUAUUUCUUACUCGUCCUCAGUAUUGUACUUGAAAUACCAUAUGAAUCUGAAAUUAUUUGGGAGAUGACAGGAACUCCUAUCAAGUAAAUAAAUGUCUCUCCUCAUAAUUCAUAUGUAAGGAAUUUUUAGAUCUGCUUGUAUCAAUUUGAAAAUAUUCUUUCACUUUAUUGGAGGCAAAAGGAAUUUGCUACAACUGGUUUUAAAUUGUACCAGAUAGACCAAGUGGUGAAAUUUCACAUUUUAAUGUGUUUAUGACUUACACUAUUUUAUUAGUUCAGUCGAUGAAAAGCAUUUUACCAGUGCUGUUAAGAUUUUUAUGAAGGGGUAUACUAACUAAAAUAUGAUUUAAAUGGUAUUUACUAACCAAAUAAUUGCUUUUACUAAAUGCACUGUGAAAACUGGCAAACACACAAGUUAAAAACACAUACAGAGGAAAUACGGAUUUUCCAGAGCCUCACAUUAUAGUUUAUGUAUAUCUUUCUUGUUUGUAAUGUGCUAUGCAGAAGAACAUGAAUUUGCAAACUGUAUUUGCUUUCAGCUAUUUAUCAUCUAUUUUGAUUGGGCUCACUACAGAAGAAUUAAAUUGCAAAAUAUAAAUUAAGAUUCUUAAGUAGUUUUAAACUUUGCAUGUGCUAAGUAGCUAAAGGGCAAUAAUUGCUAAGUGAAUGGUGAAUUCUGGGCAAAUACAGCCCUUAAUUGAAAUAACUGUCGUUUAGUAUUUGUUCUUAUUAACUGGUAUAACUAAGCAUAGCAGUGAGAAGCUAUAUUCUGUGCUGACUUUCCAUCUGUAUGAUUUCUCUCAUUUCAUUAGCAUUUUAGGGCCUGAAAAUGGAAGUUAAAAUCUUGUGAAACUUCUAAAAAUGUUCUGAAUAGGAUGGCUCUGCUUUUGAUUGCUAUUCAUACUACUUUCUCUUCAGAGAAAAAUUAACGUUCUUUUCAGCUUUGACAUUCUCUCACUUGCCCAUGUUGUACAGCAAAAGCUCAGGCUCUUAAGAACAAAAUCCAUUUGUAAAUGUGGGUGUGUCAUCAGCAAUGAAAGUGGCUCUGCAGAUUUCCAAGCAGUGAUGGAACCUUAAGGCUACAAAACUGAUAAGCAAACUUUCUGAGUAAUGGCAGUUGUAUUUACUGGUUUACAAGCUCCCCCAUUGUUGAAAGUAAAGAGUGCUAGCUAGA